CGCCCAUCCAGCUCUGCCUGUCCAGUCAUUUCCUCUAGGACGCCCUCCUUUAUCAUGCUUGUCCUUUUGUGAACAGUUUUACCAGGUUUUAAGGGGCAGGGGGCUUAGACUGUGUGAAGCAUUCAUCCUCUUUCAUUCAAGUAUGUAUUGACCUGGACUGGCUACUGUAAUACAAUCAGAACUAGGAAAAAGUACCUCUUGAAGUGAAUAAUGACGUGAGAGUAGGACGUGGUGACAAUUUAGGGUGGCACAGGAAGGCCUGUACAGGUGACACACACUUAAGCCAAGACUCCGGGAUGAAAAGCAGCCAGCUCUGGAGUUGUUAUGGGCAGAGGGAACAGCAAGCACAAUGGCCCAAAGGCACAGAGCCCUCGACUCAUUUUAGGAACCCACAGAAGGCCAGUGUGACAGGAGCAUCACGACAGGCUUUGUCAGUGGAUUGAUUGGAAGUGGCCUGCGAGAGAAAAGAGGGUAAUGCCAGGUGUCUGAGCAACUGGCCAGAAGGUGGUUUCAUUACUGAAAAGAUUGCUCACGUAGAAAGUGGAUGUGCGGGGUAACAUGUCCAGUGUGUCCGAGGAGAGAAGAAAAAGGCAGCAGAGUAUCAAGGAAGGACUGCAGUUUAUACAGUCACCGCUGUCGUAUCCAGGAACACAGGAACAAUAUGCGGUAUAUUUACGUGCUCUUGUGAGAAAUCUUUUUAAUGAAGGAAAUGAUGUAUACCGGGAAUGUGAUUGGAACAGCUCAAUAAGCCAGUACACGGAAGCUUUGAAUAUAGCUGAUUAUGCAAAGUCUGAAGAAAUUUUAAUCCAUAAAGAAAUCAUUGAAAAACUACUUAUAAAUCGUAUUGCUUGCUAUUCUAUUAUGGUGAGUUUUUAAAACCAUGUUUCUAGUGAGAAAAA